UCCAGCUGUACACAAUGUUUAUAAUUCCAGGGAAGUGAAAAGAGCAACUUUCCUCUAUAAUGUAAUUAUGUACUUUCUACAUCUAUGGUAACAAUACCUUAGUUUGAUUAUAGGUACUUGUUUAGUGAUAGUCAGUUGGCCCUAGGCUAUAGUUCUAGAGGGUUUGGAAAAUCUCAUACAUCAGAGAUGGAAGCAGUGGAAGGAAAACAACAACAAAGGAUCAUGAUAAAGGACUCUGCUGUUACUCAAUGGAGAUACUAAUGCUAUGGAAACCAGCCAUAGGAAAUAAGCCAUUUGGGGAUGGUGUAAAGAGCAGGCUAUAAUGAAACCACUUAUAAUAUGUAAGCUGGAUGCAGAGAACUCCAAGACCCUAGAAAAUGAUGAUGCCCCUAGAUGGAAGGAGCCUCAGAUCCCUGAAUGACAGAUAACAGAAAUCUACAACAUAUUUCUCAAUCAAAAUGAAGACAUUCGGCAUGUACUAGCAGAACCAAUUCAAACUGGAACAAAGAUGGGGCGAGUGGACAUUGCCUUUUCCUCCAAGGAUUGGUUUGACAUCUUAUAAUCACUUUAUAUAACAGCCAUUCUCCCAGUAAAAAGUGAAAAACCAGAGGAAGAGGUCUUGCUUCAUCCAACUCCACUGAUUUUGGCUUUGAGAGAAUAUAGCUUUAAGAAGGUAUUCCCGGGAAUAUCCCAGGAACUCUAUCCACCCCCUCAGAAUAGUAGGCAAUUGAGUUAGUGAUGGUGACUCAGGCAGGCUUUUUCAUCCUGAUCUAAAGGAACCACUACAACCCUAGAGAGAGAAAUAAAAAGGGAAUCGAGUGGAAAAGGCCUCCACCACCGAUGACUCAUGCUCUACUGUGACUCGCCUGGCACAUCACUCUGUGGCUAAGACAUGGAGGCUUGGUUCAUUAGUCACUUCAGUGAUUUUUUCAAAGCAAGGAUUCUCCCUCUAAAUAAUCAUGAGCUCUGCUUCCACAGUGUUUGUAUGUGAGCUUGUGACUCACCUUUCCACCAUGCCAGGCAGUACCAAUUGUGUCAUCUGCAAGAGAGAAAGCAAAACAUUCAUGAUGGCCGAGGAUGCAGGCAACAGAAAAAGAGUGAAGAAAACUCACCCACACUAAAAAGAAGGGAAUCAUGAAACCAUUCACCACUUCUACAGACAGCAGGUUAUUUUCUGUACACUGUAGAAUGUGACUGUGUCAAGAGGGCAUAAAAAGGAACCAGCUGAAAUUACUGGAGAGAACACAGGGAAUACUUUAAUGAACUUGGCUAAAAUUAGUCUUGCCUGAAAUGUAAUACUGGCACAGAGUUCUUCAAACAAUGAAGGAUUUACAGUGAAAAUCUACAUUUCCCAAAAUGCAUUCUCAGAAAAGAAUAUAUGUUAUCAGAAGAAAUAUCCUGCCUACCAAGAUGACUUAAGCUUUCUAACCUCAAGAGCUCACAUAAACUUUUCCAGCCAAAAAAAGUCUUUAAAAGAAUACCAUAAAGUGGUAGGUUGGCAAAGAGUAAGUGUAACUUCACAUUCAUUUCUCUUGUUGGUCUAGUUAGCUGUAAGUAAAACUCAUCCUUAAAGAGAGUUAAGAUGUGAUCUCUAGUAACUAACAUGAAAAGGUGACAUCUGCAUUUUUUAAGGACUCCAUAAUUGUUGACUAAAUACAUAUAAUGAGAGGGCUAUUUUUAAACUGUUUUGAUAUAUUAUUAACCAAGAAAAGUUCAGAAGUCCAAUGGUUUAGUCAAAAUCACCUCACAGUUAAAUACUGAGGCUGUAACGUGAAUUUCUGACUCCUGGAUAUCAUCAAUUCUCUGAGAAACAGAUGCUGUUUUGUAAUAAUAAGGUUUCAAUGCAUGCUAAGCAUAGAAAUUUCAUUGUUUCUAUCUUGAAUAAUACUUCAUAUUAAUUAAAGUAGACAGCAUUCUGAUGAGAAGGGAAUUUUGUUUUCCUAGAAAUAUUCUGAAGAAAUAAAAUGCCAGCCAGAUUUAACAAGGUAAAUUCUGCUAUGUGGACAUCCAAUCCAGAUGUAUCAUGAACAGCUUUGUAUGGUAGUACAGAUGUACAUCAGGCAUAUUAACAGUGGUGGGUAUUUUAUUGUAAAGGAUAGAUUAUACAAAACCCUAACAGUAUUUGAAAACUUUUUUUUUUUAUUUAGCACAUUUCAUCAGGGACCAUAAUGCUUAGCUAAAGUAUUAUAAAGAGUUCCCCCAGCAUUUUGUGAAGGGAAGCUAUAAUUCAGUUCUCCAAAGUCCUGAGAUCACCAGAAACAGAAUAAGGAAGGAGACUGGUAAUAAAAAUGUCUUUACCCAGGUGUGUGUGUGUCUGUGUGUGUGUCUGUGUGUGUGCGUGCGCAUUUGUAUUAAGGAAAUGAGAUCUGUUAACUAUAAAGCAGCUAAGUGGAGUCCAGAAGAGGUAGCCACUGCCUGUUUGGCUCUCUUAAACAGUCCCUCUUCUAUUUCCAGUUGGAAUAUUGGGGGCAGGGAGAUGGGGGAAUAUCAGGAGCUAUUUUUUCCCUUAUACCAUAUGCAUGUCACGUAUAUAUUAAAUGUCUGCUUUCUGAAUGGCAAAAAUUAUCUAGAAAAUCAUGAGACAAAACAAAACCCCAUAACAUAAAACCAUACUUACAAAAUUAUAUCAUGGCAUGCUAAACAUUAAAUGUUCCCUUCAUCAAGAGGCCUUUUAUGUAGGGACAUGUUCAAAAUAUAUUUUUUAUAUAUAUGAAUUAAAACUCAAGAAGUUUUAAUAACUUGACAUAAACACUGAUUUCAAUGCCUGGCUAUUAAAGGCCAGAAAUAUUUGCUGAAUGCUCAGUGACUAGAGGAUUCAUCAGCAAAGACACAAGUUCUUCCCUGCAAAAGUUAAUUUGUUUCUCAUAGCUCAUGAGCUCCUCCUUUUACAUUCUGACUCUAAAUUCUCUGUCCUUGUCAUAAAAUGUAACAUCUUUUUUUAAUCUGUCAAAUAAUAACAAUGAAAAGCCUGAGAAAACUUAACCUGAAAUCUGCAUGCUUUUAUCAAAUUGAUUAAUGCCUUCAUCUAUAAUGAAAUUAUCUUUCCUUCUAAUCAGAUUAUAAGUCACAAUAAAUUCAAUUUCAAGCCUUCUUUAUAUGAGUAUGUAUAUACAAAUUGUUAAUAUUCCACGCAUUAGUUAAGAGGCUUCGUUAUAUUCAGAUCAAAUUAAAUUUUCUUUAACACCAAAUUUUUAUAGGAUUUUUAGCUAAGUUAUUAGUAGAGUUAUCUGUAAGCAUCAGCUGGUAUCUUGAUAUUUGGUUAUUUAUACGAAUAUACCAGGCAUUUCUGUGAAUUCUCACUAUCUAUCUGAACUCCAUUUCAGAGCUCACAGGCUGUUUCUGGAGUUAACUCAAUGCUAAUUUUAGGCCAUCUGCAGGUGAUAAUUGCUGUACCAGAAAAAUUUUUGUUCCUCUUAACACACUUCUAAAAAAAGGUUACCAUAACUUGCAAGUUCAGUGGUUAAGAAUAUUAGACAAGUAGUAGUAAACAUGAUUUCCAGACCCAUUUUCUUCCCCAUUGGGACUGUUUCCAAAAGUGUAUAGCGAACAAUUUUAAUUCUUUCCUAAGAAGUAGACAAAAGUUUCUACAAUUGUGCUUCUACAACAGUGAGAGUGUGAAAUCCUUGUCCUUGCAGGGAAAGUGUUUCCUCUUUAUAUACAUAUAUAUUUUCAGUGACAGUAUCAUUAAUCCUCACCACAAGAAAAUCCUAGAUGCCUAGAAUCUAAAGGGGAUAGUUUAAUAUAUAUGUUAUAUCACACUUAAGGUAUUGUUAUCACUUUAUAUGCAAGCUAGCCAAAAAGUAUACAAAUAUAUGAGGAAAAAUGAAUGUCUUGAUGACAGCUAAAUUUAGAAUUUGAUUCAAUGUCAAGAGUAAAAUAUUUACUAGUAUUUACUGGUAUAGCAAUGUAUAUUCUG